CACGCCACUGCCGAGGGAAUCAGGAACUUCUGUCAGAGAGAAAUACGUUGGCUUCCUUAUUCCAGUUGCCUUGCGUUGUGCGGGAGUUCCUUAUUCCUCCAUUUUAUUCCAGUUGCCUUGCGUUGUGCGGGAGUUCCUUAUUCCUCCGAAAUGGCAAUGGGAUCGACAAAAUUGCACCUGUACAGAUACACAAAGACGGAAGAGACGCACCUAACAUGCUUGAAGACGGCGGCGGCAGCAGAGCGCGAGCGCGGGAACUGCCAACCGGACCACGCGGCGACGGGUAUGUAGACGUCGAGCAGCACGACGGCCCUGGCCUCCACCGCGGCGCCGUCCCCUUCCCCUUCCCCAGGCCUCCUCCUGGUCACGACCCGGAGAAGCGUACCCUCCACCUCCACGCAGCGGUUCGCCACGAGCGUCCUGAGCAGGCGCACGACGCCGGGGGCGCGCGACCUGGGCCACCGCGGCUGGGCCCGCACGUCGUCGGGGAGCGGCGCAAGGGCCACGGCCCCGCACGCGGAGAGCGUGCACGGGGACAGCGGAAGGAUAGACGCCGCCGCCGCGACGUCCCCGCCGGGGAUGGACACCACGGCGCGUAGGUAGCCACAAAGCUUGCGGCGCUCCCCCGCGGCGGCCAUUGUGAGGUAGUAAGGUUAAGGUAGGGUUAGGUCUCGCUCUCGCGUGCCACCAUGGAGAGCGGGGUGGGUGGCGAUGCCCGCUGGGAUCCGGUGGCUGCGGGCUCGGCUUCUCGGGCGGUGGCGACUGGCCGACUGGGAGGCGAGGCGACGAGGAGGAAGAGGACGCGUAACUACCUGGACCGGGAGAGAUGUGUGGGGUCGGCUUCGGCUGGAAUCUGGGGCUCGGAUCGGGUCUGACGGACCUGUGCUUCCGGCUUCGAUCGCAUCGAAACUGUGAGCCGUUUUCGCAAUACGUGGUUUACGCCUUUACGGCACACGGGUACGGAACGACUUUCCCAACGUCCGAAUUAUUUUCACUUCCCGCAUAUUAUACACAUAAAAAAUUCCCUUUAUACUACUCAAUAGCACAUAAAGAGAUGAGCAUAAAUCCGAUGGUAUAUAGAGAAUUUUUUUCAAUUAUAUUUCUUUGCAUGUUGAGAAAUAGUUUAUAUCUUGAUCGAAUUCCAG
rnacentral:misc_RNA from 1 species